ACGGGAGGCAGCAGCUAAGAAUAUUCCGCAAUGGACGAAAGUCUGAUGGAGCAACGCCGCGUGAGUGAUGAAGGAUUUCGGUUCGUAAAACUCUGUUGUAAGGGAAGAACAAGUAGCGUAGUAACUGGCGUUACCUUGACGGUACCUUAUUAGAAAGCCACGGCUAACUACGUGCCAGCAGCCGCGGUAAUACGUAGGUGGCAAGCGUUGUCCGGAAUUAUUGGGCGUAAAGCGCGCGCAGGUGGUUUCUUAAGUCUGAUGUGAAAGCCCCCGGCUCAACCGGGGAGGGUCAUUGGAAACUGGGAGACUUGAGUGCAGAAGAGGAUAGUGGAAUUCCAAGUGUAGCGGUGAAAUGCGUAGAGAUUUGGAGGAACACCAGUGGCGAAGGCGACUAUCUGGUCUGUAACUGACACUGAGGCGCGAAAGCGUGGGGAGCAAACAGGAUUAGAUACCCUGGUA
rnacentral:rRNA from 1 species